rnacentral:rRNA from 1 species
AUUCGCGGCCUAUCAGCUUGUUGGUGGGGUGAUGGCCUACCAAGGCGACGACGGGUAGCCGGCCUGAGAGGGCGACCGGCCACACUGGGACUGAGAUACGGCCCAGACUCCUACGGGAGGCAGCAGUGGGGAAUCUUGCACAAUGGGCGCAAGCCUGAUGCAGCGACGCCGCGUGAGGGAUGACGGCCUUCGGGUUGUAAACCUCUUUCGACCGGGACGAAGCGAGAGUGACGGUACCGGUAGAAGAAGCACCGGCUAACUACGUGCCAGCAGCCGCGGUAAUACGUAGGGUGCGAGCGUUGUCCGGAAUUAUUGGGCGUAAAGAGCUCGUAGGCGGUUUGUUGCGUCGGCCGUGAAAACUUCAUGCUUAACGUGGGGCUUGCGGUCGAUACGGGCAGACUUGAGUUCGGCAGGGGAGACUGGAAUUCCUGGUGUAGCGGUGAAAUGCGCAGAUAUCAGGAGGAACACCGGUGGCGAAGGCGGGUCUCUGGGCCGAUACUGACGCUGAGGAGCGAAAGCGUGGGGAGCGAACAGGAUUAGAUACCCUGGUAGUCCACGCUGUAAACGUUGGGCGCUAGGUGUGGGGACCAUUCCACGGUUUCCGUGCCGCAGCUAACGCAUUAAGCGCCCCGCCUGGGGAGUACGGAAU